CACUGCGCGUGUGCGGGACCAACUCCAAGAUGACGGCGCCCGUCGGGGCGGUUUAAAAAGCUGGAAAUAGAGAGAUCCGGAGAAAGAAAGAGAAUUAGGGGGUUUCCUCCGUCUCCAGCGCCCACCUCCAUGAGCGGGCACCCCCUCCUCACCCUCUCCGUUCAGGUCCCAUGGGCAACCGGGCAGCGGCCGAGCGCCGGCGGCGCCUCCACAAUCCCGGCGGCUUCGAGCGGCUACACCGGCGGUGCAAAGAUGUUUUUCCACAACAAAUUGAAGGUGUCAAGCUGGUCAUCAACAAAAAUCUCAGCCAACACUUUCAGGCUGCCCAUACCAUCCACAUGAGUUCGACAUCGCCACAUUACCACUUCAACGCGACAUACUCGGGAACUCAACAGGCAGGCCCUGGCGAAAAUUUCCCGCUGCUGGUGGGUGAAAUGGACAGCUCAGGAAGCUUAAACGCGCAGUGUAUCCUCCUGCUGGCCGAGAGGAUCCGUGCCAAAGCAGCAUUUCAGACGCAGCAGAACAAAUUUCUGACCUGGCAGUUUGAUUCGGAAUAUCGAGGGGACAACUUUACAGCCAGCGUCACCCUCGGUAACCCCGACAUCAUCAACCAAUCAGCGAUCGUGGUCGGGCACUUUCUACAGAGCGUCACCCAGAACCUAGUCCUCGGGGGAGAGAUAGUCUACCAUCGCAGACCCAACGAGGAAGGGGCCAUCUUUACACUGGCCGGCAAGUAUGCCACCCCUCAGUGGACAGCCACUCUGAAUAUUGGUCGAGGCGGGGCACACGUGAGCUACUACCACAGGGCGAACGAUCAGGUCCAGGUGGGCGUGGAGUUCGAGGCGAGCUCUCAGACCCAAGAGACGGUCUCCUCGUUUGGAUACCAGCUCGACCUCCCGGAGGCAAACAUGGUGUUCCGAGGCUCCUUGGACAGCAACUGGGUGGUUGGUGGCGUCCUGGAGAAGAAACUCGCCCCUUUACCUUUGACCUUUGCCCUGGGCGCCUUCAUGGACCACAUGAAGGUUAUCUGUUGAUCGCUCCGUGUUGGCAUAUAUUCCACACUCUCCCACUCUUUGGAUAAUGGUUUUUAUUUUGCUGAAUGUCCGAAUGGAUUUGUCAGUGACUACCUUGUGCUGAGAGCCACUUGGGUUCUGUACACUGUACCAAGGUAUGUGGUGAUCAGAGCUUGAUACAGUGCUCCGAGUGCGGGUCUGACUGAGGGAUACAGGGACCGGAACUGUGCACGGUGCUCCGAGUGUGGGUCUGACUGAGGGAUACAGGGACCGGAACUGUGCACGGUGCUCCGAGUGUGGGUCUGACUGAGGGAUACAGGGAGAAGAACUGUGCACGGUGCUCCGAGUGUGGGUCUAACUGAGGGAUACGGGGACCGGAACUGUGCACGGUGCUCCGAGUGUGGGUCUGACUAAGGGAUACGGGGACCGGAACUGUGCACGGUGCUCCGAGUGUGGGUCUGACUGAGGGAUACGGGGACCGGAAUUGUGCACGGUGCUCCGAGUGUGGGUCUGACUGAGGGAUACAGGGAGAAGAACUGUGCACGGUGCUCCGAGUGUGGGUCUAACUGAGGGAUACGGGGACCGGAACUGUGCACGGUGCUCCGAGUGUGGGUCUGACUGAGGGAUACAGGGAGAAGAACUGUGCACGGUGCUCCGAGUGUGGGUCUAACUGAGGGAUACGGGGACCGGAACUGUGCACGGUGCUCCGAGUGUGGGUCUGACUGAGAGAUACAGGGACCAGAACUGUGCACGGUGCUCCGAGUGUGGGUCUGACUGAGGGAUACGGGGACCGGAACUGUGCACGUUGCUCCGAGUGUGAUUGUAAGGAAUGGUGUGUAGCAUUUUGUGAAAUGCACCCUGCACUUGAUCUUUGAAGCAUUUAUUGCAGAGCUGAUAUCCGGUAACUGGCUCCAGAUCUCUGCGACUGAUGCUGGGAUUUACAACCUAUCGAGUGCUCUGUUGUCCCAUGCUCACAGAGCCUGAGGAGAGAGAGAGAGAGAGAAUUGCCCACUGCGGACGUUAGAAGUCCUCUCUGAUGCACCACCCCACCCCACCCCGUUUCCUGGCAAAACAUCUGCAGAGUGCCACGGAGACACCCAUCUCCAGGUCUCUCUACCAUUAAAAGCCACACAUCUCAUUGAGUGCCUCUCUCUGCUUGCCUCCUUUCCGAAGAUGCUUGACUUUCCAAUGAUUGUUACUGUUGAACGAUUCCACAUAAAUGACAUUUGUCACGACCCACCGGGAUCAUGGUCAGGAUAUCCAGUUCAGUCACGCAUGAAAAUUUCACCAAACUACUGAAACGCUCCAAUUCUACCUAAUUAGUCUAGCUCCGGUUACAAGAAUAUAUGCAGCAAGGUUUUUUUUAAACCUCUUUCUCCAUGAAUAAAGAAAACCUAUUUAUUGCAAGUCGGUUGAAUUGCUUAUCUAAAACUAAAGCUGGGAUUUACAACCUAUCGAGUGCUCUGUUGUCCCAUGCUCACAGAGCCUGAGCACCAGUCACCCUGUGCCUCCUACAAAGUGAAAAGAAAGAUUGCAGAACAGAAAACCCAAGGAAGCAAAACGAUCAUCUCAAGCAAUUCUGUAGACUGAAAUUCUUAAACCUUUUCUUCCUCCCUGCCCCGCGACCAUCAAUGAUUUGUUUGUCUAUCUGCGUCCAUCUGUAAGUUUAUGAAGGAUUUGAUGAGUACAGUUGGAUGUUAACAGUUCAUGCAUUUUUAAAGCUCUGGUUAAAAUUUCAUUAUUUACUUUGAAGAAGAAUAAUUCAAAGGAGGUGUUUGGCUUGUCUUCAUGGAAACAGAUCCACAGCUAAGGAAGAUAGCACAGACACCGCAUGUUGAAAGAGGGGCUGAAGGAGCUCCAAAGUGUUAAUAUAUCUGCUGAAGAAAUGGAACCUGACAAACAAGGAACACUUUUUUUUUCAUUAAACAGUGAAGUAGACAUUGUAAGAAGCUAUUGAGAGUAACACAGGACAUUCCUAUGGAGGGGCAUUUAGGAAUCCAGAAAACACAAGUAUUAUACAUGGGCAGGGCUUCAUAGAGAUGAGUGUGUUCUGUAAAAUUGUCAUGUAUGUAAAUUACAACAUGUAUCAGACCAACCUAAGCCAGUUUCUGAAGAAUUAUUUUAUCAAAUGUUAAUGGAUUGAAUAAACAAAAGCAGAACAUCAGUAAAUUGUCAUAAUUAUGAGCAUAACUCAAUUAGCAGAGGCUUUUUCUUUGAGGAUGAUUGGACCUAGUGUAAUAGUGAAGGAGCUAACACAAUUUUUUGCUUGGCAUGGACUCCCAAUUGAGGUACAGUCCGAACAGGGGUUUUAACUUUCAUGUCUACAGUUUCCAUUAACAGUUUGGAAAUAAAACAAUUGAGGUAUAAUUGAUCCAGAAACACAGGGAGCCAUCGCAUUCUCAACAUUGUGAUGAAGGCAGGCUCACAAACAAACAGGAUUGAGACAAAGGGUUACUUUUCUUAGGUUUUACGAUAAGACAUUUUCUGACUGUGUUGACUGGAUUUAGCUCAUCAGAAUAGGUUUGUAGUCGGGAAACUAGAACUCUCUUAAAAUUGAUGAGGAAGAGGUUGUUGAAGGAGAAAGAUGAUUCCUCAAUGUUGGAUGACAUGUCCAUGGGUUUUAGAAAGAUUGCCAGGAACAUUAAGGGAGCACAGGAAGAUUUAAAUGUUUAUUGAGAUUGUAAAGAAACUUGCAGUUCGAUAUGACACAUUAGUUAAUCAGAUAGAGAAGAUAUAGCACCAUGACAAUUUGGGCUAUCGAUGCAAAGUGGUAUUGUCCCUAUCUCUGAGCCAGGAAGAUUUAUAAGGUUCACAUGAAUGAAUGGAUAGAUAAAUAUUCAGCAAUG